rnacentral:precursor_RNA from 14 species
UCCCUCUGUUACUCCUGGGUGACCGCUGUAGUGCAUUGUAGUUGCAUUGCAUGUUCUGGUAGUAUCUGUGCAAUGUUUCUGCAGUGCAGUAUAGAGGCACUCUUCACGUCUGCAGUGCAGG